rnacentral:rRNA from 1 species
UACGUAGGGCGCAAGCGUUGUCCGGAAUCAUUGGGCGUAAAGAGCUCGUAGGUGGUCUGUUACGUCUGCUGUGAAAUCCUAGGGCUUAACCCUGAGCCUGCAGUGGGUACGGGCAGACUAGAGUGUGGUAGGGGAGAUCGGAAUUCCUGGUGUAGCGGUGGAAUGCGCAGAUAUCAGGAGGAACACCGGUGGCGAAGGCGGAUCUCUGGGCCAUAACUGACGCUGAGGCGCGAAAGCGUGGGGAGCAAACAGG